rnacentral:tRNA from 1 species
GCUCAGUGGUAGAGCGCUUGCCUUGUAUGCAUGAGGCCCUGGGUUCGAUUCCUCAG